GACGAACGCUGGCGGCGUGCCUAAUACAUGCAAGUAGGACGCAGUUGCGAACGGGUGAGUAACGCGUAGGUAACUACCUAUUAGAGGGGGAUAACUAUUGUAAACGAUAGCUAAUACCGCAUACUAGUAGAUGGACCUGCGUUGUAUUAGCCAGUAGGUAGGGUAAUGGCCUACCUAGGCAACGAUACAUAGCCGAUCUGAGAGGGUGAACGGCCACACUGGUACUGGGUAACGGCCCAGACUCCUACGGGAGGCAGCAAGAGGGAAUCUUCGGCAAGGGGGGGAACACUGACCGAGCAACGCAGCGUGAGUGAAGAAGGUUUUCGGAUAGUAAAGCUCUGUUGUUAAGGAAGCGGUAAUUACCCAGAAAGGGACGGCUAACUACGUGCCAGAAGCCGCGGUAAUAC
rnacentral:rRNA from 1 species